UGAAGUUUGCUUCAAUAUUGAUGCCAAUGGUAUCCUGAAUGUCUCCGCCAAAGACAAGUCCACCGGCCAAAAGAAAGGGAUUACAAUCAAGAGUGACAGUGACAUUCGAAAUUUUGAAGGAAUUGAGAAAGUGAACUGAAGACCUAUUUGGUAGGCUGGAUCAGAUUGGAACAUUAAUAUUGGUAUUAACGAUCAAUUAGUUGAAUGAGGCGUUGUUAGAGUUUUCAUUUUGCAUUCCGAUGUUAAAUCCUUAUUAUGAUGAAUUUUGAUGAAGUUUUAAUAGACUUUCAUAAAUUCUAUAUGUAUGAUUUGUGUAAAUUUCUUCAAAAUCUCAUAGGGAUGAAUUCGGAGAGGUAUGAUUUGUCAAAUCUUGAUUGAAUACACCCUAUUAAACUUUGUAGGCUCCAUUAAAAUUUUGAUUGAAUACAUCCGAAUUUUACUUUUAUAAAACUUUUAUAAAUCCUAAUUAAAUAUAGAAUAAAUUACGUUCCAUUUCCAACCACUGGGCUAAAAUAAGCUCUAGAAGAAAAAUAUAUCUCUAGGCUAGAUUCUUUUCAACUGGGCUAAAAAACAAUCAUUUGACAACUAAUUUAAUCAUAUUUAUUAUCCAAUGGCGAAAGACCUUUUUUAUAAUUGACAUUACACGCUUCUUAAAAUGUUUGAACGUGUUUAAAAAUAGAGAAAAUAAUAUUUAAUGAACAAUUGAUUGAAUCACAUUAUUACUAGCCUAUUGUGAGGUACUAAUUAUUAAAAAAUACUAUUAAAAAUGAUGAAAAUACCUCUGCCAUAUUUUUGAUGCAUUAUUUUGGUUUGCUUUUGAAGCUUUUUGUUUGAGGGGCAUUUUUGUCCAAUUUCUUUUGGUGAAGCUUGUCACACCGAAAAACAUUGUUCAUUGAAUGCUUGGCUUUAUAUAUGAAGAUUAUACUCUUUGGACCCAGAUCCUCUCCGGAUCAGUCCCGUGGGGAUCCUCCUGACGAAUUGAUCUCAUCGAUUGGGUCGGAUUAGUUGCAUGUCUCUCCUUCCCUUUCCGCAACUCUCCCUUUCGCUUCCUCUCUUCCCCCUCAACUCCUCUUUGCCUCACUUCGAUGCACCCACCACCACCCCCUGCAUCUUUUCGGUCUUCUUCAGCCCAACCCAACCCACCCCAAUUAAAUUCCUUGUUUACUUUUUUAAUUCUUAUUUUUUAGUCUUGACGUUUGUUCUUUGAUAUUUUCUUAGCUCCUUCAAAUUGGGACUUUAUUCAACAGGAAGAGGAAUUUGUAGCUGGGGACGCUGGGUGGGAGAGAGCUGGAAAUGGUUGCUGGGUUGUGUAAGAUGUGGGAUUACAGUGGCGGCGGGUGAUUCGAAGUGAGAAAGUAAGAGGAGUUGAGGUGAAAAGAGGAAGGGGAAGAGAGAGCUCCGAAAAUGAGAGAUUUUUCAAUGUCACUGUCACACGAGAUGGUACACCACGUGUCUCUAUAUAAAUGAUGAGUUAUGUGUGUUAAAAGGUUAAUAACUUAAAAAUUAAAAUUUUUCACCACUUGCAUAAAACUACGUGGUGUACCAUAGUGUUCUCGUCACAACUAAAAUUUUCUCCUCUGAAAGGGGGAGAAAGACUUGCAACUAAGUCGAACCAUUGGAUUUGUACGAACGGAUGAGAUCAAUUCGUCAGGAGGAUCCCCACAGGAUUGAUCCGAAGAUGAUAUGAGUCCAUACCCCUUAAUGGCAGCUGGUAUACUUAAAAAUCCCUAACAAUAAAAGUAAAGGAAAAAUAAUAAACAAAAACUUUAAAACUUUGAGUUUUAACUAAGGGAAUUGAUUAGCACUUCAAAAAUCUUAUUUUGCACUCUUCAAAAAUGUAUUUUUCUUUCUAAUUAUAGAAAGUUUGGAGUGUCAAAUGAGAUUUUUGAAAUGCUAAUAACAAUUUCCUUAAUCAAAAGUAAUUUAAUAAUUUGAUUUAAUGAUAAAGACAAAAGAAAUAAAAGGAAAACAAAACCCCAAUCAAAAGUGCGUGCAAGGCGCAUGUCAUUAGAUGAUUUUUUUUGUUAAUAAAAAGUUUGGAAAAACCUUUUUCAUUAAAGAUUCCUAAAACUAGAGCAUAAAACCUUCAAUUUAACUCUCUAACUGGUGAUUAAGGCAAUCAAAAUUCAAUCCUAUUUUACAUUCAUAACAGACUGCCUACAUUCCAAUGGGUUGUUCUUCGUUGAGUUUUCACGCUGAGAAUGUUGAGAAUGUCAAGAGAAGAAGAAGGAGAAGAAUCCUCCCAAUUUUCCAAAGCUACCUUAAAAAUUCAUGAAAGCAGAAGAAUUACUGUUGCAAGUUGAAUAUGUGUGGAUAGUUUAUCCCACUUUAGUGAGGGACAAGGCUAAAUAAGGGUUUAUAUGAUGUCGAGCUAUUUCUCAUAGUGCCUAUUGGUUUUAGGGAACUUUAACGAAAAGCUCCCGGUACUGUUUACUUUAACGAAAAACCACAUUUUUACACUAAAAUGUCAAUCCUGGUACUAUUCAUUUUACCCUUUAUUUUGUCCUUAUCAUUAAAACUUCAAGUUUUCAAGCCCUUUUCAUUAGUUUUCCUUUGGUUUUAUAUAGAAUCUUAAUUUCAUUAUGGUAUUAGAGUAUGUUUCUCUUGCGUGAAAGCCCAAAGGGCUACACUUGCUCACGUGUCAGUUUGUCCCACAACGGUGAAGGACAAGGUCAGCCAAGGACUUACAUGGUUUUGGAUCACUCUCUAUAUUGCUAACUGAUUUUAUGGUAGAGCUAUUGAGAUCUCUGCAACUAAUUUGCAGUUUUGUAUUCUGUUCAUAUUUUAUUUUUUUUUUGUCCAAAUUUUAUGUUCAUAGUUCAGUACACAGAUAAAUAUUGAACUUAAUUUGUAUGCUAGUUAUCAUUUGUUGUUGUUUUGUAGAAUUAAAUAUAAAGUUGUAAGGUUCUAUCAAAAUGUUGACAUCAUUCGUAUUUGGGAUUAGGCUGGAAAUCUUUUUACGAAAAUCCGAAACCAAACUAAAAAAAUCACGAUUCCAUACUAAAAAAUUUCUAAGUCAAUAAUACGGAAAUUUUCUGGAUCCAUACCGAACCGAUCCCAAACUUUUUGGUACGAGAAUCGAGAUUACAUAUUCAAUGGUUCAGGAAUGUCGAAUCGAACCAUAUAUAUAUAUAUAUAUAUAUAUUUUUUUUUUUUUUUUUUUUUUUUUUGGUUGCAUGCAUAUUGAAGGUUGAGUUUAAGUAGUUUGAUAGUAGAUUAUAUUAGAAAUAGAAGUAUAAAAUUAAGUUGUUUGGAACUUUGGAAUGUCAAUUUAACUUGAUAUGAAUGAAUUGAUAUGAAAUUUCAAAUUGGUAUAAGAUAAAAAACCUAAAUUUCAAUUGAUAUGAAAUUGAGCAACAAAAUUUCAGGCUAAAACCCAAAUUUUAGCCGACACCUCCAAAAUCUCAAAUUUUAGCCUAAAAGUCAAAAAUCCAAAAUUCAGUCCCAAUCUAUCUCGAAAUAUUUAAAAUAUUUCGGAAAUUCCAAAAAUUAAGAAUACGGAAAUUUUGUAUCCUAUUUUUUAUUCGGGAUUCCAUACCAAAAUACCCCAAUAUGCCAAAAAAAAAAAAAAAAAAAAAAAAAAAAAAAAAGAGGAAAGUCAAAAGGUCGUAAAGAAGGUAAAGUUAUGAUAGACGAAGCUCUGAACUCUCUCUUCCCUACUAAACUAGCCAGACUCACUCUUCCCAGUCCCUCACCAUUACUCUCACUGAAAUCAACUUUCUUCUCUUCUCUUCUUCUUUAUCGUGUUCCCGUGCACAGAAUGGCAGGAGAAGAAGGCCACGCAAUCGGGAUUGAUCUGGGGACAACGUACUCUUGUGUCGCAGUGUGGGAGCACGACCGUGUGGAAAUCAUAGUGAACGAUCAGGGUAACAGGACCACUCCAUCUUGUGUUGCCUUCACUGAGACUGAGCGAUUGGUUGGUGAUUCGGCCAUCAAUCAAAUCAUCAGGAACCCCACCAACUCCAUUUUUGGUUAGAUCCUCGUUUAUCUGCUACUAAUUUAACAGCAUUUUGAUGGAAAAUGGUUAUAUGCUUAUUUUCUUAAUGAAAAUAGCUUAAACUUUGAGUUUUAAUCAAAAGAACAGAAAAGUGUUGUAAGAGAAUAAUAUUAGAGUGACUAUUUAGAGUAAAAAUGUCUUAAAAGUUCAUAAAAAUAUAUUUUUGAACAAAAAAAGCUACAAGUAUAAACAGUAUGAAGUUGGAUUAAAACUAUCGUUGCAGGAUAACACUUUUGAUUAAACCAAAUAAGUCAUUGGGUUGUUUUUGAUAUAUGAUCUAUUGAUUCUUAGCUGUUUUUCUUUCUAGGAGUGGUUUUUAAUUUAGUCAUUUAUUUGCAGAUGCGAAGAGGUUAAUUGGUAGGAGAUUCAAUGACGCCACUGUUCAAAGUGAUUUGAAGCUCUGGCCAUUUAGAGUCACUGAGGGUCCUGGCGGCAAGCCCUUGAUUGUGGUCACCCACGAGGGACAAGAAAAACAGUUUGCUGCCGAAGAAAUUUCAGCCAUGGUUCUAGUGAAAAUGCGGGAGAUUGCUGAGGCCUACCUCAACUCCACUGUGAAGAAUGCAGUUAUCACUGUCCCUGCUUACUUCAAUGAUUCACAGCGUCAGGCUACAAAAAAUGCUGGCAACACUGCUGGCCUAAAUGUGAUGCGUAUCAUCAACGAACCAACUGCUGCAGCAAUUGCUUAUGGCAUUGACAAGAAGGCUGGCUGGUAUAGCAAGAGAAAUGUGAUGAUAUUUGAUUUAGGUGGUGGUACUUUAGAUGUUUCACUACUUACCAUAGGUGAUGGUGUGUUUGAAGUGAAGGCCACGGCUGGAGACACUCACCUUGGAGGAGAAGACUUCGAUAACAAAAUGGUGGACUUUUGUGUUGAGCAAUUCAAGAAGAAUCAUAAUUUGGACGUGAGUGGAAACUCUAAAGCACUAAGGAGGUUAAGAAACGCAUGUGAGAAAGCAAAGAGGAGGCUUUCGUUUACUUCAGCCACUGACAUUGAAAUCGACUGUUUGUAUGAGGGAACUGAUUUCUAUACAACUAUUACCCGUGCCAAAUUUGAGCAAUUGAAUAUGGAUUUCUUUAACAAGUGUAUGGAGCCAGUCGAGAAGUGUUUGAAGGAUGCCAAUAUGGAAGUAAGCAGUGUCCAUGAUGUUGUUCUUGCCGGCGGAUCUUCUAGAAUUCCCAAAGUGCAGGAACUGUUGCAGGAUGUGUUCAAGGGGAAGCAGUUGUGCAAGAGUAUCAAUCCGGAUGAGGCAAUUGCGUAUGGUGCCGCUGUUCAAGCUGCAGUCUUGAGUGGGAAUGGAACUGAGAAGCUUCAAGACUUCACUCUCUUGGAUGUCACCCCUUUAUCACUUGGAAUUGAGAGUCAAGAACGUGGUAGUUCCAAGUUAUUCAUGAACAUUGUGAUUCCAAGAAAUUCUAGAAUUCCAGUCAUGAAGAAAAAAUUUGUAACUACCGUUUCUGACAAUCAAGUUUCGGUGGACUUUCCUGUUUAUGAGGGUGAAAGCAGCAUAGCUAAAAACAAUAACUUUUUGGCUGAAUUUACCCUCGAUGGUAUUCCCCCAGCUCCGCAAGGUGUUCCUUUAUUUGAAGUUUGUUUCAAUAUUGAUGCCAAUGGUAUCCUGAAUGUCUCUGCCGAAGACCAGUCCACCGGCCAAAAGAAAGGGAUUACAAUCAAGAGUGACAGUGACAUUAGGAAUUUUGAAGGAAUUGAGAAGGUGAACUAAGGACCUAUUUGGUAGGCUGGACCAGAUUGGAACAUUAGUAUUGGUAUUAACGAUCAAUUAGUUGAAUGAGGCGUUGUUAGAGUUUUCAUUUGGCAUUCCGAUGUUAAAUCUUGAUUAUGAUGAAUUUUGAUGAAGUUUUAAUAGACUUUCA
rnacentral:lncRNA from 1 species